GCAGGAAGGCACCCUCUAUGGACGGGGAUGACCAUGAUGUAGGGGAGGAUGAGGACCGGUACAUUGAGCUCGACCACGACGGGGCACCGCACAAGGGCAUGAUGUAGUGCCCAGGAUGUCUUUGAAUGGCUCCUAGGAUGGGAUUGAACCUAGUUGAGGUCCUUGGGAAAUCAGGCCCUCCUGUUUCCAAGAUCAUAGGCUUUCACAAAGACAAGUAUACCAAGGAUGCCAUGGAGAAAGAUCGCCUAAAAUAACAAGAUCAUAAUGUUGUACCGAGGGCAUAAAGUUGUAUCCAGGAUGGGCUUGCACCUGGUUGAGGUCCAUCGGAAAUAGGACCAUCCUACUUGCAAGAUCAUGGACUUCCACAAAGACAAGUAUAAUAAGGAUGUCAAGGAGAAAGAGCAUGUAAAAACCAAGGU